rnacentral:rRNA from 1 species
CACGUAGGCACCAAGCGUUGUCCGGAUUUCUUGGGCGUAAAGAGCUCGUAGGCGGUUUGUCGCGUCUGCCGUGAAAGUCCGGGGCUCAACUCCGGAUCUGCGGUGGGUACGGGCAGACUAGAGUGAUGUAGGGGAGACUGGAAUUCCUGGUGUAGCGGUGAAAUGCGCAGAUAUCAGGAGGAACACCGAUGGCGAAGGCAGGUCUCUGGGCAUUAACUGACGCUGAGGAGCGAAAGCAUGGGGAGCGAACAGG